AUCUGACCCAGGGCCAGGGAAGGGUCAGAGAGCUGGGGUCUAAUUUGCAUGGGAGAGCCCCUCCCUCUCUCAGAGGAUGAAGAGGGGAAGGGAGAGAUAAGGGGAGGCUCUGCUCAGCUGAGGGGCCACUGAAGACAGGAUCAGUGAUGACCUCCACCAUGGGCUGGUCCCCUCUCCUCCUCACCAUCCUCGCUCACUGCACAGGGUCCUGGGCCCAGUCUGUGCUGACUCAGCCGGCCUCAGUGUCCGGGUCCCUGGGCCAGAGGGUCACCAUCUCCUGCACUGGAAGCAGCUCCAACAUCGGUAGAGGUUAUGUGGGCUGGUACCAACAGCUCCCGGGAACAGGCCCCAGAACCCUCAUCUAUGGUAAUAGUAACCGACCCUCAGGGGUCCCCGAUCGGUUCUCUGGCUCCAGGUCAGGCAGCACAGCCACCCUGACCAUCUCUGGGCUCCAGGCUGAGGAUGAGGCUGAUUAUUACUGCUCAUCGUGGGACAGCAGUCUCAGUGCUCUCACAGUGCUCCAGGCCUGUGGGGAAGUCGUGAAGCUAUCAUGGUCCUUCAGCUCCAUCCCUGUUCUGCUGAUGCACAUGUCAGCUCUUUUUGCAGAUGGCAUCAUUAUUGCCUUAGCUUCAACCAAAUGA